UGGGGGAAUAUUGCACAAUGGGCGAAAGCCUGAUGCAGCAACGCCGCGUGAGUGAUGAAGGUCUUCGGAUUGUAAAGCUCUGUCUUUUGGGACGAUAAUGACGGUACCAAAGGAGGAAGCCACGGCUAACUACGUGCCAGCAGCCGCGGUAAUACGUAGGUGGCGAGCGUUGUCCGGAUUUACUGGGCGUAAAGGGUGCGUAGGCGGAUGUUUAAGUGAGAUGUGAAAUACCCGGGCUUAACUUGGGUGCUGCAUUUCAAACUGGAUAUCUAGAGUGCAGGAGAGGAGAAUGGAAUUCCUAGUGUAGCGGUGAAAUGCGUAGAGAUUAGGAAGAACACCAGUGGCGAAGGCGAUUCUCUGGACUGUAACUGACGCUGAGGCACGAAAGCGUGGGUAGCAAACAGGAUUAGAUACCCUGGUAGUCCACGCCGUAAACGAUGAGUACUAGGUGUAGGAGGUAUCGACCCCUUCUGUGCCGCAGUAAACACAUUAAGUACUCCGCCUGGGAAGUACGAUCGCAAGAUUAAAACUCUAAAGUGAAUUGAC
rnacentral:rRNA from 1 species